rnacentral:rRNA from 1 species
UACGUAGGGUGCAAGCGUUGUCCGGAAUUAUUGGGCGUAAAGAGCUCGUAGGUGGUUUGUCGCGUUGUUCGUGAAAACUCACAGCUUAACUGUGGGCGUGCGGGCGAUACGGGCAGACUUGAGUACUGCAGGGGAGACUGGAAUUCCUGGUGUAGCGGUGGAAUGCGUAGAGAUCCGGAAGAACACCGGUGGCGAAGGCGGCCUGCUGGGCGGCGACUGACGCUGAGGCGCGACAGCGUGGGGAGCAAACAGG